rnacentral:rRNA from 1 species
CAGUAGCCGCGGUAAUACGUAGGGUGCAAGCGUUAAUCGGAAUUACUGGGCGUAAAGCGUGCGCAGGCGGUUAUAUAAGACAGAUGUGAAAUCCCCGGGCUCAACCUGGGAACUGCAUUUGUGACUGUAUAGCUAGAGUACGGCAGAGGGGGAUGGAAUUCCGCGUGUAGCAGUGAAAUGCGUAGAUAUGCGGAGGAACACCGAUGGCGAAGGCAAUCCCCUGGGCCUGUACUGACGCUCAUGCACGAAAGCGUGGGGAGCAAACAGGAUUAGAUACCCGAGUAGUCCCUGUCUCUUAUAC